rnacentral:hammerhead_ribozyme from 1 species
GUACAAGUGAUGUGUCUCAAAUAGGACGAAACGCGCGUCCUGGAU